rnacentral:rRNA from 1 species
CCUGGUUGAUCCUGCCAGUAGUCAUAUGCUUGUCUCAAAGAUUAAGCCAUGCAUGUCUAAGUACAAGCCGAUUUAAGGCGAAACCGCGAAUGGCUCAUUAAAUCAGCUAUGAUUCAUUGGAUCUGUACCCACACUUACUUGGAUAACUGUGGUAAUUCUAGAGCUAAUACAUGCACCACGUCUCUGACCGCAAGGGAAGAGCGCUUUUAUUAGUUCAAAACCGGUCGGGCCUCGGUCCGUCACCCCACCGUGUUGAAUCUGAAUAACUUGUCGCUGAGCGCACGGUCUCCGCACCGGCGCCGCCUCUUUCAAGUGUCUGCCUUAUCAGCUUUCGAUUGUAGGUUAUGCGCCUACAAUGGCUAUAACGGGUAACGGGGAAUCAGGGUUCGAUUCCGGAGAGGGAGCCUGAGAAACGGCUACCACAUCUAAGGAAGGCAGCAGGCACGCAAAUUACCCACUCCCGGCACGGGGAGGUAGUGACGAAAAAUAACGAUGCGAGACUCAUCCGAGGCCUCGCAAUCGGAAUGAGUACACUUUAAAUCCUUUAACGAGGAUCUAUUGGAGGGCAAGUCUGGUGCCAGCAGCCGCGGUAAUUCCAGCUCCAAUAGCGUAUAUUAAAGUUGUUGCGGUUAAAAAGCUCGUAGUUGGAUUUCAGUUCUGGACUGACGGUUCACCGCCCGGUGCAUACUGUCACGCUCCGAACAGCCACAACAGCCCGCUGGCUCGCACGGGGUGCUCUUCAUCGAGUGUCCCGCGUGGCCGGCAGAGUUUACUUUGAAAAAAUUAGAGUGCUCAAAGCAGGCUACACUUACGGCCUGAAUGCCUAUGCAUGGAAUAAUGGAAUAGGACCUCGGUUCUAUUUUGUCGGCCGAGGUAAUGACUAAUAGGAACAGGCGGGGGCAUUCGUAUUGCGACGCUAGAGGUGAAAUUCUUGGACCGUCGCAAGAACUACUGCGAAAGCAUUUGCCAAGGAUGUUUUCAUUAAUCAAGAACGAAAGUUAGAGGUUCGAAGGCGAUCAGAUACCGCCCUAGUUCUAACCAUAAACGAUGCUGACCAGCGAUCCGCCGGCGUUAUUCCCAUGACCCGGCGGGCAGCUUCCGGGAAACCAAAGUCUUUGGGUUCCGGGGGAAGUAUGGUUGCAAAGCUGAAACUUAAAGGAAUUGACGGAAGGGCACCACCAGGAGUGGAGCCUGCGGCUUAAUUUGACUCAACACGGGGAACCUCACCAGGCCCAGACACUCAGUGGAAGGAUUUGACUAGAUUGAGAGCUUUUCUUUUUUCUCCGAUUUCGGUGGGUGGUGUGCAAUGUGCGUUUUCUUAGUUUUUGGUUUUGUUUUUUUUUUUGUUUUUUUUUUUUUUUUAAUUAACUUUACUUGUGUCUAGCUAAAGUAUCAAUCGGAUCUCUCAUUUUUCUGUCUAAUUGUUUGCAGCUUUCUUUUCUUAGAGGGAUUAUAGUCUGGCCUAAUUUUAGCCGCAAUCGAGAUUUGAUGCAAUAACAGUGUCUGUGUAUGUCCCUUUAGAUGUUCUGGGCCGCAUCUGCGCGCUAACAUCUAAGAAGGAAUCGAACCCGUGUGUUAGCAAUGCCCCACCGUCCGCAGGAGCAGAUAAAGCUGGCGUUAUACACCCGUUUGAAACACCGCCUCCCAUUUUCUUUAUGUGUUCCUUGGUGAGUGGCGUGUAUUGCAUAUUAUAUAAAACAAACAGACGGACAGGCGGUGCAAAGGAAUUCAAGCACAAGUAGUAGGGACGCAGCUUGCAGAGGCGUUGGCUGCUUUUUAUCCUACGUCCCUGUCCCUUUCGUAACACAGAACCGGCCCGUCGCUACUGGCGCCAGGUCUCGUACCCUGCUUAUAGGGAGUUAGUUGAAUGAUUCUCUCAGUGGAGGACAGCUUCGGGGACUGGGCGCUCUUGGAUGCCGGCCCCACGCGGUUCCGCCGCUUGGCUUUCGGCGCCUCGAGCUGACGGAAAGAUGUCCAAACUAGAGGAAGUAAAAGUCGUAACAAGGUUUCCGUAGGUGAACCUGCGGAAG